AACGAACGCUGGCGGCAGGCUUAACACAUGCAAGUCGAGCGCCCCGCACGGGGAGCGGCCGACGGGUGAGUAACGCGUGGGAACGUACCUUUUGGUUCGGAACAACUCCGGGAAACUGGAGCUAAUACCGGAUAAGCCCUAACGGGGAAAGAUUUAUCGCCGACCGAUCGGCCCGCGUCUGAUUAGCUGGUUGGUGAGGUAACGGCUCACCAAGGCGACGAGCAGUAGCUGGUCUGAGAGGAUGAUCAGCCACACUGGGACUGAGACACGGCCCAGACUCCUACGGGAGGGAGCAGUGGGGAAUAUUAGACAAUGGGGGCAAGCCUGAUCCAGCCAUGCCGCGUGAGUGAUGAAGGCCUUAGGGUUGUAAAGCUCUUUUGUCCGGGAAGAUAAUGACGGUACCGGAAGAAUAAGCCCCGGCUAACUUCGUG
rnacentral:rRNA from 1 species